rnacentral:rRNA from 1 species
UACAGAGGGUGCGAGCGUUAAUCGGAAUUACUGGGCGUAAAGCGUGCGUAGACGGCUAUCUAAGUCGGGUGUGAAAGCCCCGGGCUCAACCUGGGAAUUGCAUUCGAGACUGAAUAGCUAGGGUACGGUAGAGGGAAGUGGAAUUUCCGGUGUAGCGGUGAAAUACGUAGAUAUCUGGAGGAAUACCGGUGGCGAAGGCGGCUAUCUGGCCAUGUACUGACGCUGAGACACGAAAGCGUGGGGAGCAAACAGG